rnacentral:lncRNA from 1 species
GAAGCGGCUCGCGCGGGCCCGGCCGGCAGCCGCUCCCCAGACACCGGGGAUCCGGCCCGACUGUUUCCUACCCACGACGGCGAAGACCCGCUACAGCGCGUCCACGAAGCCCCAGUACUGAGCCAGGACGGGGCUCUCCCUCUCGAUGUAGGCGACUACGAACUGCUCCGCCAGCCGGUGAGGCAGCUAAUUAAGAAAGCCACCUUCAGGAUGUCUUUCGAGAAUCUAGCCUCGAAGAAAGUCAUGUAAGAGAACGCCUGCAUCAAAAAGUCGGGAGGCCGGGCGGAGUCGCCGUUAAACGUCCAGGGAAAGCCACCAGGUGGGCCGGCGAACGCUCCCGGGCCAGCAGGUAGGCUUUCUCGCACAGCAGCCCCCGCACCCGGUCCGUAAGCUCGUUGUUCUCCCUGCGCCGGGCAUGGUUCUAGGUCAGGAGGUCCUACAUCAUGACAGCCAACGCGUCCAUCCUGCGCCUCCCCGCAGGCCUUGCUCCCCGCUCGGUCCCUCCCGGCCGCGGCGCUGCCGGAAGUGCGUGUCGGCGCGGGGGCGGAUCCCGGUGGCGGCGAGGGGCGGACUCCGCGGACAAGGCCAGGCCUAGCCUUGAGCUCCGUCGGGCAGGGCCGCCGGGAUUGGUGUCCGGCAGAGCGUGAGCCCAGCGGGCUGGAGUCGGCGAGCGGGAGUGAAAGAAGAAAAGCUAGAGAGCGAAGGCAAAGCCCGAGGAGAGAGGGCCGCGGUCGGCGGAGGAAUCUGACUGCACGGUUGCGUGCGCUCACUCCCGGAGGGCUCCCUCAGGCGGGCGGCUCCGCUAGUGGCUAAAGGCAAAGCAUUCCGGGGCGCGGCGCAUGAAGUUGAGCUUCGUCCCUGCUAGCCGCCGCUUUCUCCCCAAAAAUACAUCCUAGCCUUAAUGUUUAUGCCUCCAUUGCCCCAGUUCUUAUCUGUUUUGCUCAAUGUCUCAUAGCUACAAGAAGGCAAUUUCUGACGAAGCCCUCCGUCCCUUCCAAAUGGAUUAUUUUGGCGGGCUUCCACCCGGACAGUAUGCCACCCGAAUGACUGGACAAGUGCACGGGAGCGGCUGUCAUUUGCGGAGUGCGCCUUGCGAUCUAGGCGCCUCACAGCGCAAAUUAUCCAGUAAUUUCUCUGAAAUCGAUGCUGGUUUGUUUUCCCAAGGCAAAUCAGCAGCUUAUACAGACAUUGGGGCCACAAAGCCGGUGGAACAACGGGAGACGGCUUCCUGAGUGUCAGGUCCUCCAAGAUGAGCUUAAACUUCGGGUGGUGGGCAGGCUCGGUAGGCGGGAAAGGCCCGUGUCCAGAUGAAUGCAGUCCAUGUUUAUAUUGAUGAAAGACACGUAUACCAUUUGGUCCAGCUCAACCAUUCUUAACAAGUGCUGGCUGUGAGCACUGGUGUGUGUGUGCCUGCGUGCAACCAGCAAUGUAAGUGAUGACCAGCUGCAUGAUGCCUUAAUUUGAGUGGACAAAGUCGGUCAAGAACCACUUUCAGGCUUCUGGGUCUCCAAGUCUUUGUCUCCCUGUAUCCAAACGAGGCAUUCCAAGUUUGACAGCAUGGAACAUUGCAUGUCCGAAAUACCAACCGUGAAACUGGGUAAAAAGCUUCAGGAGGUGAUAUUGAUGUGUAUAGUUUAGGAAAUAAAACCCAAUACUUACUUCA